GUGCUCACUUCUGCACCACAUGUACUAAAAUUGGAAUGAUACAGAGAAGAUUAGCAUGGCCCCUGUGCAAAGAUGACAUGCGAAUUCAUGAAGUGUUCCAUAUUUUC